AUCAAUUAUAUUUUUCAUUUAAUCUAAUUAGAUUUGAUGUAUCAUAUAUAUUAUAUCAGAUCUAAAAUACAUCUUAUACUGAUUAUAAAAUAUUAAUUUUAAAUUUAAUAUUAUAUAAAAAAUUAAUUAGAUAUAAAUAUGAAUGCAUAAGAAAUAAAUUUCUGAUAAAAUCUAUUUUCACGUAGUGCUGAAUUCUCAUAGG
rnacentral:lncRNA from 1 species